rnacentral:piRNA from 1 species
UGGGAUGAUAUGAUGCUUCUAAGAGUACUGC